UACGUGGGGCGCAAGCGUUGUCCGGAAUUAUUGGGCGUAAAGAGCUCGUAGGCGGCUUGUCACGUCGGGUGUGAAAGACCGGGGCUUAACCCCGGUUCUGCAUUCGAUACGGGCUAGCUAGAGUGUGGUAGGGGAGAUCGGAAUUCCUGGUGUAGCGGUGAAAUGCGCAGAUAUCAGGAGGAACACCGGUGGCGAAGGCGGAUCUCUGGGCCAUUACUGACGCUGAGGAGCGAAAGCGUGGGGAGCGAACAGG
rnacentral:rRNA from 1 species